AACGAACGCUGGCGGCAUGCCUAACACAUGCAAGUCGAACGAGACCUUCGGGUCUAGUGGCGCACGGGUGCGUAACGCGUGGGAACCUGCCCUUAGGUUCGGAAUAACUCCCCGAAAUGGGUGCUAAUACCGGAUAAUGUCUUCGGACCAAAGAUUUAUCGCCUUUGGAUGGGCCCGCGUUGGAUUAGCUAGUUGGUAGGGUAAAAGCCUACCACGGCGACGAUCCAUAGCUGGUUUGAGAGGAUGAUCAGCCACACUGGGACUGAGACACGGCCCAGAAUACUACGGGAGGAAGCAGUGGGGAAUAUUGGAAAAUGGGCGAAAGGCUGAACCAGCAAUGCCGCGUGAGUGAUGAAGGUCUUAGGGUUGUAAAGCUAUUUUACCCGGGAUGAUAAUGACAGUACCGGGAGAAUAAGCUCCGGCUAACUCCGUG
rnacentral:rRNA from 1 species